CUAAUAUGUUUUCAGAAUUGAAGAAUAUUGGAGCUGGGAUAGAUUUCUGCAGCUUUCUUAAGAUUGAAAUGAGAAUUUCGUUUCGAAAGCGAGGUGGUUUUAUUAUUUUCAGGAUAUGGAUACCUUCUGGGUAUGUUGUUAUGAGUGGAGAGGAUCGGUACGGGAAGGCUGGUACAGGCGCACCUGAGUAUACUCCAAAGAUCUCAUUAGUCUGUGAUGAGCAUCGUCAUCCAGCACAGACCCAAGACAGCGCUACGUAUCCUCUAAGAGGAAGUGAUGUCACGACACCAUCACCGCUUUGAGAGAGACUAUCGAGGCCCCUGGGACCGUCGCGAGCGAGCCGGAGGCCUUCACAAUGGCGUUGGCAACAGCACCUGCUCCUCAGCACCGCCCGUGGCCAACGGCAACAACCGUCCGGGACUCCUCCCGCUCCCGGUCAUCCCGUCCCUCCUUCCCACCCCUGUGACCAUCGCCGUGACGUCGGCCAGCAACGACCUCGCCGCCAAGCGCUCAGGAGCCUCUGCAUCCGCCACGGCACCUGUUGUGAAGGCGGCGGGUCUUUCUCCUGGUGAGACACAGCCUCCGAGUCUCCUGUUGGCUCCUGGAGUGAGAUGGGGCCAGACCCCCAUCAACCAGUCCACUCCGUGGGAGACCGACGAGCCUCCCACCAAGCAGCACAGAGAGAGCGACACCACAGGGCCCCCAUGGGUGCCUCCAGGGGUAGCGGCCAGUCAGCCCAGCUUACUGGCCCAUUCGUAUGGGAUGCCUCAGCCACCCGCCUAUAGCCAAGGAGUGUCCGUCCAGUCUCCCAUCAUCGGCGUGACCCCAGCCAUCCAGACGCCCAUCCCACCGCACCAUCCACUCAUGACCGCCCACUUCCAGCUUCCUCCCCUCUCCUCCCAAGUGCCAGGUAGCCUGGUCCUAAACCUACAGAACCAGUCACCCUACGCCACCAGCCAGCUGCCAAUCACCCCAUCGCCCCUCACGACGGCCGGCCGGGUAGUUCACCCCGCCCCUCAGAGCGUGGUGGGAAACGGUCACAUGACACACCCGCUCAUACAGCCACCUGCUUUGCCUUCCGCCGCGCUGCCACUAACGAACGGACAGGCGACGACUCAGCCGGCAUCAGCCAAUCAGGAAAGUCCGAUCAGGCUUCAGAUGCUCCGUACGGUCGGAAUGGGGAAGUACGAGUUCACAGACCCGAGUCAUCCGAAAGAGAUGUUGAAGGAUUUGAACCAGCAGCGCAGAGAGAAAGAGUUUACAGACCUGAAAAUUAUAGUUGAAGGCAAAGAGUUUGAAGUCCACCAAAAUGUUCUAGCUUCCUGCAGCUUGUAUUUCAAGGACCUGGUGAAAAGGUCGUCGAGAGAGACGGGCAGUGGAGAGAAGCUGGAGCUGAAGAUGACAAACAUCGGUGCAGAUGUGCUGGAGCUGCUGCUGGAGUUUGUCUACACCGGCUCGCUGGUCAUCCACUCGGCCAACGCCAAAACCUUGCUGGAGGCCGCCAACAAGUUUCAGUUCAACACUUUCUG
rnacentral:lncRNA from 1 species